GUGAAUCAUCGAAUUUUUGAACGCAAAUUGCACUCUCCUCGGAGAGUAUGCCUGUUUGAGGGUCAGCCUAAAAAAAAAUCGACAUUUUUGUUGUUUUAUGUUGCCUUUCGUCGGGGAUGGGUUAUCUUAAAUCUGGUUUUAAGCGACUUAAAAUUUUUUUUUACGAUUCUAAGAAUUUUUUUAAGUUUUUUCUUUUAGGUUUAAGUUU
rnacentral:misc_RNA from 1 species